GACGAACGCUGGCGGCGUGCUUAACACAUGCAAGUCGAACGGAAAGGCCCUGCUUUUGUGGGGUGCUCGAGUGGCGAACGGGUGAGUAACACGUGAGUAACCUGCCCUUGACUUUGGGAUAACUUCAGGAAGCUGGGGCUAAUACCGGAUAGGAGCUCCUGCUGCAUGGUGGGGGUUGGAAAGUUUCGGCGGUUGGGGAUGGACUCGCGGCUUAUCAGCUUGUUGGUGGGGUAGUGGCUUACCAAGGCUUUGACGGGUAGCCGGCCUGAGAGGGUGACCGGCCACAUUGGGACUGAGGUACGGCCCAGACUCCUACGGGAGGCAGCAGUGGGGAAUAUUGCACAAUGGGGGGAAGCCUGAUGCAGCAACGCCGCGUGCGGGAUGACGGCCUUCGGGUUGUAAACCGCUUUCGCCUGUGACGAAGCGUGAGUGACGGUAAUGGGUAAAGAAGCACCGGCUAACUACGUG
rnacentral:rRNA from 1 species